GGGGGUGGUAUGGGGUGGGGUGGUGAAAAUACCAAAACUGGAAAAAUUAAAUGCAUUUUUCUGUUCAAAGUUAUGCAUUUCAUGUGAAAACUUUAUGCAUCUUUGUGUGAAACUAUAUGCAUCUAAAAUAUAUCUAUUUUGAGAAAAUCUAAAAAAAUAUAUAUUUUUUUUAAUUAUUAAAUCCGAAAAUUACAUUCCAAUUUUACCCCUCCAGAUUUUGCCUUGGAAUCCUUGCCACGUGUCACCAUCUUGAUGCGCCACAUGUCAUAAAUGUGUGGUCAAGAUUUGGAUCUAGGGAUCUAUUAUAAGCAUUGGGAUCUAUAUGAUCCCAUUCCUAUAUAUAUAAAUAUAUAUAUAUAUAUAUAUAAUAUAUAUAUAUAUUUUUAUGUUUUUUGAAAGCUAAAUUUGAUUGUUUGGGUGAAAGGAGUAGUGGAGCUUUUAGCUAUUUGUUAUGUAAGAAGUGAUGAUACAUAAUUGUGAUAUUACAGUAUAUACUAAAAUUCUCAUGUCAUUCACUUCUCCUUCUCUUCGGUAUACAUAUUAGUAUGCUUCAAUGUUUUUCUUCUUUUUUUUUUUUUCAGAAAAAUGGAUUUUUGCUCGAAGUGGACCAUAAUACUAUUGUUUUGAUGGAGUUGCAAUAGUAGUCAUUUGGAAGUCUAGUUUAAAUGUGAACUGGCUAAAAAAUUGUAAAUUGCAAAAUUAAGCCAAUUACUUAUUUGUAAUUUGAUGGUUAUUUAUUGUGCUUACACCCAACGAUAAAUCAUGAAAAGUACCCAACUGUAAUUAGGUACCUUCUAAAAAUGUAUAAGCAAAUUAAAUAAAUCAUAUUUGGUUGAUUGGUUCAAAGUCAAUUGAUCCUAAGUAAAGAUUGCAGGAAACGUUAUUGGA
rnacentral:lncRNA from 1 species